UCCGGCUUCUGUAGGGCUCGCGGGAGCAGGAAGUCAUGUGAUCCUGUAGCGAUCACAUGACUUCCCCUGGAAAGAAUACGUCACUCGUGGGGACAACUGCGGUAGGACUCCAACGUACUGAUUAAAUCGGUUAUCGGGGAAAAUAUCAUUGUUUUGUUUAAAUGCUGUUGACAGAGAAAGUUUGCUUACAUAUUAAGCAAAAACGUUUAGCUGGAUAAGGAUAUGAUCCCUGAAAUGUAUAAAGCCAUAUAUCAAAUACAGGCUACUGCUGUGAAUUACCAAAAUGGAAAUGGCAGGAGAGAGACGCUGCCUGCCUUCGGCUAAGGAAGCAGGAACCCCAGGCAUCGUCCAGAUAGAAGUGAUCGCUGUUCAUUGAAAUUGAUACUUUAUCACCUGCUGAGAAAAGGAAUGAAUGCUGAUCUCAAUCGACUGUACGAAGAGAUAUAUGAUGGAGCUUCCAGGGCGAUAUUUUAAGAUAGCAGUAAACCAUUAGCUGUACUGUAAUCUCAUAUUACACAAAAGGCAUUGUUUUAGUGGUCUGAACGCUUGUUUCAUCUUCUCCUACCACAUCAGACUGUUCCCCUAAUGCUUUAGGGCCGCGGCGGUUUUCUUUUCCAAGCUAUAAUUUCUCUCCUAUACGUGUUGUCCCAUUGUAAUUAAAAAAUGCCAUUGGUUUGCAAGUGAAAGCAGCUAAAUUAAACUUCACUCGCAAGCACAGACGUGUACGGUUUUGUUUCUUAAGGAUGUAAAACGUUGCUUUGCAAAUAAAUUUGUUCAGUUGCUUUGUGACGGGUGGUGUGGACGUCUCACGCUACAGUAAAAUGAAACAGUUUUAAAGUACCGUUGGUAUUCCAUGAAAUGCAGUUUGGUACCCCCUUGCUAAACAAGACUAACAUACAUUAACAUACUUUUAAUGCAAGUUUUGUGCUAAGAAGAAUUAUGUGAUUUAUAGUUUCAUUAUAAAUUAAAUCAGACAUGUGUAUUUAACAGAAACUUAGUGAUCCCCAUGUGCAAAAGUAAGUCAACCUUUUUAUUCAAUAAGCAGCAGCCUAUCCUUUAGCCACUAUGGCAGCAACCAAAUAUUUCCUACAGUCACUGAUCAGUCUCUCGCAUCAGCUUAGAGGAAUUUUUGCCUUUUCUUCCUUACAAAACCGCUUCAGCUGCUCCGAAUGUGUUGGCUGUCUCGCAUGAACAGCCCACUUCAGGUCUUGUCAAAUCAUUUCUUGUGGGUUUAGGAAAGCACCACAUUUCUUCCUCUUAAUCCAGUCUUUGUUAGAUUUGCUGGAAUUUCUAGGGUUGUUGUCAUGUUAGAGGACCCAUUUUCAGCUCAGCUGCAAUUCGCAGACGGGGCCUGGUGCUACCCUACAGAAUUCUUUGGUAUGACUCUGAAUUCAUGGUUUCCUCAAUGACAGGAAGCUGACCAGGUCCAUGGGAAAAGCAGAAAAGCAGCCUCAAACGAUGACACUCCCAACAGCAUGCCUGACAUUGGGGAUGAGGUUUUUUAUGGGGUACUGUAGGUUUUCGCCAAACGUGACAUUGUGAUGUCCAACAAGAUCGGUUUUAGACUCAUCUGUCCAGAGAACGUUCUUCCAGAAAUCUACAGGAUCGUCCAGAUGGUCUUUUGCAAACUGAAGGUGUCCCCACAGCCAGGACUGGGAGAUUUGAAGAAAAUCUUCCAAGUAGGGAUGAGAGGCUCGUGUUGGGGGAAAAAAAAAACCACAGACCAAUUAUUGACCUUGUCAGUAAAUGUCUGGACUUGAUUACACACUUCAGAAAUGGAAAUGACUCCUCCAAAAAACAUGUUUAAUGCAGAAAUAUGUUCCAGACAAUAAAUCAGGAUCUGCUUAAAGCAUGUCUGUGUUUGAAAUAUGGAACAAUGCUGGUUAAUGUAUACUCUUUUAUAUUUAAAUGAAUUUAAUGCAUAUUGUCUUUCAUUACAGCAGACUAACUUCAUGCUUUUGAAGUGACAGAUGAAUCGGAAGAAAAGUAUUGCUGGCCUGCCUGACUUUUUUAUUCUUUUUAAAGAUGUGUUAGAAGCCAAAAUAUGCAGUGGUGGAUUGGGAAACACAGUCUCUGCUAAUGUUUCUUAAAUGUCUUAAGGCCUUUGUCUCACUCAGCAAUCAAUAAAAAUGACAUCAAAGGAAGCAAUUUUCAUUAAAGAAAAAGUGUUUUAUUUAGUAAAAGAAAACUGUAAA